UCUCUGUCGGACUCUGUGGAAUGGCAUGUAAGAAGACCCACCUGUGGUUCUCAUCCGCUUCCCGCUGCCGCGUGCUGCACUUUGCAUUCACAUGAAUGACACACCAAGCUUUUAUCAUACCUGAAUCAGUGUUGCAGGGUUGUCUGUGAUGGCCGCUUAUAGACGCAAUCAGCCCCACGGUUCUUCAUGCUCAUCGGGACCUUUGUGAUGUUGGCCCUGUGAUUUAGUGCCCCUCAUCCUCCUCUUGUCUUCACCUCCCUCCUGCCCCAGGGCCUGGAUCUCUGACCCCUUCGGAAACCCCUCUCUUCUCUGACAGCUGAGCCCGUCUCCUUGGAGGCCUAGGGCAGGAAAAUUUCUCCCCAAGACGUACUCGGGAGCCCUGCAGCCAGGAUGAUGGAUGAGCAGGCAAGGGCUGUUCGAGGCAGCCUGAGCAGAGAGAGAAAUAUGGCAGCAAACAUGGCUCUGUGUGUAGAGUGCUAAAGGCCAAAGGACAGAACCCUGUGGAACACCAAGCACGUAAGAGAUGGCUUAACAAGGAGGAUGCAUGAAGAAAUCAGUGAAGGGUUGUCAGCGAAAGAUGGAGAAACAAGAAGCCAAGAGAGAAGACAGCUUCACCGUAAGAGGGGUCACCAGAGUGAUGGCUGAAUGCUGCAGAGAAGUCCCUGCUAUAAUACCUGGGGACACCUCCUUUGGAUUUGGUCAUUAGGGGGUCCCUGGGGAAGUUGGGGAGAGCAGUAUCAGUGGAGAGGAGGAGGCAGAAAUGAGGUUUCAAUGGUCUGGGCAGCCAAAGGAAAAAGAGAGACACAGCGAGAGAGGGAACACAAGCAGGGGAAGUGGGAGAGGGAGAAGCAGGCGUCCCGCCGAGCAGGGAGCCCAACGAGGGGCUCGAUUCCAGGACCCCGGGAUUGUGACCAGAGCCGAAGGCAGACACAACGACUGAGCCACCCAGGUGUCCCCAAAUGUUUAUUAUUAUUAUUAUUAUUAUUAUUUUUAUUAUUUAUUUAUUUUUUUUUUUUUCUUAUGUUAAUCCCCAUACAUUACAUCAUUAGUUUUAGAUGAAGUGUUCCAUGAUUCAUUGUUUGUGCCAAAAUGUUUAAAAAAUAAAUAAAAUUUUUAAAAACCUGCAAGUGUUUGCCAACUGUCUUUUUUUUUAAAUUAAAGAUUUUACUUAUUUAUUUGACAGAGAGGUAGAGCCAGAGAGCACAAGCGGGGGGGUGGCAGAGGGAGAGGGAGAAGCAGGCUCCCCACUGAGCAGGGAGCCCGAUGCGGGGCUCGAUCCCAGGACCUGAGAUCAUGACCUGAGCUGAAGGCAGAUACUUAACCGACUGAGCCACCCCGGCGCCCCAUUUGCCAGCUUUCUUUUCCAGAAAACACCCAUAGACUGCCCCCAGUACUGCUGGUUCUGUUUCUGGCUUUGACAGAAUCCAUAUAGGUGGAGAACAGUUAGUUUGAACAGAUAGUCUCAAGAUAAUCCAUAACUCUGCCUUUUGCUUCCUCUCCCAUAGUGCUCAGGCUAGAGCAAGGUGUUCUGUGCUACGUGGUAUUCAGGAUCUGGUGCAGGGAGGUUAUGUUUGGGGCCUGACCUCAAAGAAAAUCUUUCCACCCAGUUAAAGAGUAAUUUAACACUCUUUCCGUGACGUCUAUCCCAAGAGGUGGACAAGAACAGAGGAGCUGGAGCUAAAGUUGAGGCCAGGACAGAAAAGGAAACUUUCUUUAUAGAUCAAAAUAUUUGCUGGGCCUCAAGCAGGCAUGUUCUGACAGACCCCUCUGGGUGACUGCCCUCCUGCUAGGCUAACCAGGGCGCCGGGGUGGCAUUGGGGGGGGUGGACAUGUGGCUUAAAUCACCUCAUCUGGAGGCCGAAGACCUUAGACUAUUUAACCCAGCAAGGACUUUGAGUUCCUAUAGUCCAGAAACUCCCAGACUUUUAAUUUCAUGGUCUGUCACAACUCACUGGGGGUGGGGUGGGGCGGGGGAUAACAUAGAAAAAUAGCAGGCUGUUAGUUAUUGUUUUGCCAGUUGAGCAAAUAAAAUACUCAUCUCUGUCAUUUCAGAGAAGGCCACUUUAACAUAGACCAUAUGAAAG